rnacentral:sRNA from 1 species
AGUGUUGUCAUUAAAUAUGUAACUGUGAUAACUCUGUAGGCAAUCGUUCGUAAUGAAGAAUUGAAGAAACCAAAAUGAAAGCCCUUCUCCUCGUAGUUAGCCUAGUCGUAAUUAGCGUGGUGGUGAUUAUUAUCCCACCGUGCGGGGCUGCACUUGGACGAAGAAAGGCUUAUUAAACAAGCCUGAACCUGAAAAGAACCCCCGCACCGAAAGGUCCGGGGGUUUUUUUUGGUCAGUAUAAUUUGCGGCGGGAACAGAAAAUGAGCAACAGCAUAAUGUUCUGC